rnacentral:rRNA from 1 species
GGGUGAGUAACACGUGGGCUACCUGCCUGUGAGACUGGGAUAACUCCGGGAAACCGGAGCUAAUACCGGAUAACAUUUUCUCUUGCAUAAGAGAAAAUUGAAAGAUGGUUUCGGCUAUCACUUACAGAUGGGCCCGCGGUGCAUUAGCUAGUUGGUGAGGUAACGGCUCACCAAGGCAACGAUGCAUAGCCGACCUGAGAGGGUGAUCGGCCACACUGGGACUGAGACACGGCCCAGACUCCUACGGGAGGCAGCAGUAGGGAAUCUUCCGCAAUGGACGAAAGUCUGACGGAGCAACGCCGCGUGAGUGAUGAAGGCUUUCGGGUCGUAAAACUCUGUUGUUAGGGAAGAACAAGUACAAGAGUAACUGCUUGUACCUUGACGGUACCUAACCAGAAAGCCACGGCUAACUACGUGCCAGCAGCCGCGGUAAUACGUAGGUGGCAAGCGUUAUCCGGAAUUAUUGGGCGUAAAGCGCGCGCAGGCGGUUUCUUAAGUCUGAUGUGAAAGCCCACGGCUCAACCGUGGAGGGUCAUUGGAAACUGGGGAACUUGAGUGCAGAAGAGAAGAGCGGAAUUCCACGUGUAGCGGUGAAAUGCGUAGAGAUGUGGAGGAACACCAGUGGCGAAGGCGGCUUUCUGGUCUGUAACUGACGCUGAGGCGCGAAAGCGUGAGGAGCACACAGGAUUAGAUACUCUGGUAGUCCACGCCGUAAACGAUGAGUGCUAAGUGUUAGAAUGGUUUCCGCCCCUUUAGUGCUGCAGCUAACGCAUUAAGCACUCCGCCUGGGGAGUACGGUCGCAAGAAUUGAAACUCAAAGG